UUCUUAUCGAGAGAGAUGGAGGGACAUGGCCCGAUGAAAUCUCAGCAACCCCCUCUUUAAAGGGACAGGUGCUAAAUCCAGUAAGACGCAGUUCUUGAAGAUAAGAA
rnacentral:ncRNA from 2 species